rnacentral:rRNA from 1 species
UUCAUGGAGAGUUUGAUCCUGGCUCAGGACGAACGCUGGCGGCGUGCCUAAUACAUGCAAGUCGAGCGGACCGACGGGA